rnacentral:rRNA from 1 species
UGAAAGAAAAAAUUUUCAGUAACUCCUGCUCAAUGAACCUAAAUAGCCGCAGUCAUCUGUGCUAAGGUAGCAUAAUCACUUGCCUAAUAAUUAUAGGAUAGAAUGAAAGGAUGUACAAGUGAGCUCCUUUAUUAAAAUGAGAUUUUUAAUUUAAUUAAUAAGUAAAAAUUCUUAUUUCCAUUAGGGGGACGACAAGACCCUGUUAAACUUUACAUUCUUGUUUAGCUGGGGCGGCAACAAAACUAUAACUUUUUUCCCCUUUAAUAACUCAACUUUUAUUAAGAACCACCAAGUUACUACAGGGAUAACAGCAUAAUUCUCUCAUGAAGACCUUAUAAAAGAGAGAGUUUGUGACCUCGAUGUUGAAUUAAGGCCCUAAUAGAAGCAGUAUUCUAAAAAGGAAGUCUGUUCGACUUUUUAUUCCUU